rnacentral:lncRNA from 1 species
AUCCCUAGCUCACAAUUCAUACAACGUUCAUAGUGCCAUACAUUAGCCAUCAAAUCAGGUUCAUACAUAACAACCUUUAUACAAUUCAAAUGGCACAUCGUGCUUGACAUAUUUUUCAAACUAACCAAACUAAGAAGGCGGAAGGCCCACACAGACUCAAUGGAGUGAUACGUUGGGAUGGAAACCUACCAGAUGCCAAUUAUAUGUCCGUCUAAUUGACAACACUUGCCAUGUAAGCCCAUAGCUUCUCUUAUCUGCACAUGGUACAACAGAGGGGUGAGUCAUCUAUUUCUCAAUGAAGGGACACUAUCACAACAUAAUAUUUUACAUAUAAAAUAUAUUUAGGCCUAUCUAGCAGUAAAACUUUCAUAUUCAAAAAUUUCCAAUUCAAAGGUGCGAGGAUCAUCCUAAUAUCCUACAUGCACAACUCAUCAUAUCAAGUCCUACCAGAUCACAUCUCAAUGGUGUAUCAUAUCCACAGAUUCCUACAUUCUAUGUCUUCACAUCAAAUCAUAUCAAUUCAAGGCUUAUCUUUAAAACCACUAUCAUUAAACUGAGCUUUGUAGGCACACCUUAGUUGCCUAGCACAACCUCAAAUACCAUUUACAAAUAAUUGCUUGUUCUAAAUCAUUUCAUCAAAUAUCAUUCACAAUGGUCACCACAUAUUUGUAUUACAAAUCAGAUCAUGCCAUCCUCGGUGCAUGUUAUCAUAGCCAAAUGAUAUCAAAUAAGUGGUCCUGCCUUAGACAUAGUCAAAUCAUGCUCAAUGGCCUACUGGCUGAGAAUCAAAUCACACUUAGGGCAAAGCCACUGGUGGAGAAACAGAUCAUGUGUGUGCCGAAGCAACUGGCCAAAAACAAAUCACUCGCAGUAUCAAAGCAGUUGGUGGAGAAUCAAAUCAUCGACAGGAGAAAUCUCCCAAUGGUCAGUAUCACCCGAGGUAAUAUCAACGGAUGACAUUAAAACACUACAGGCGGGAAUCAUAGGCGGGAUUAGCCACCAUCCUUGUUUACCACCAUCCCUGCAGGCAUACACAUAGUCAUAGGGUAUGGGACUUUUGGUCACGACCCGAAACCCCCCAUCGAGCCCGUGACAACAGCCACGAGGCCUCGAUAGACAUUCUUCACCCCGAAUGCUGAUCGAAACCCCGUAAGGCUUAGCAUCAACUUUCGCAUCUCCCCGGUGAGCAACAAUUAUAAAAUCUCGCAUUUUAAAAAAAUCAUAAGUCAUUUUCAAAUAAGAACAAUAAAAAAUUAUUUUCUGACUCAUAGGGGCAUUUUCGUAAUUUUUCGUCAAAAAUCUCAAAACUUGCUAAAAAUGUAAUAGGUAAGCAGAAAAUAUAUAUUUAAUGAUUUAAAAACAAAAUAAGUAUCUAAAACGUUCAUUUGAAAGCAAAUUGUUAACAACUAGUACUAUUCAAAAAUAAUUAAUAAAAUAUUCUAUUUUCUCAUAAAAUAAAUUUUUAUAGAAAUAUUCGUAAAUAAUUUUUCGCACAUGAAAGUAAAGUAAAAAUUGUAUGAAUAGAAAUACAGAUAACCAAAAUAUAAGUUUUGAUCUGCAAUGACACGUGGGCUCCAAUUGACCAAGAGGAUGUAAGACUGUGAACUCUUACUUUCUAUAAUGCAGUUCCGAGCUUAGUUCUCGUCCUACUCGACUAUCUACAAACUGUCCUGAGCCUGAAAAAUGUAUAGGAAGAAGGGGUGAGAUUUUAUAAUCCCAGUGAGUAAACAGAUACCAUCUAAAGUAUCUAAAGCCGAGUAAAUGGAGACAAUUAAAAUAAGUCAUCAUACUGUAAUUUCAUUACCUUUCAGUUCAUUUCAACCAAAUAAAAUCAAUCCAUAUAAAUCGAGUAAUCAACUUGGCUUAUGAAUUUCUUAAAACUUUGGCUCGUGCCAAAACUCAUACUCGGUGAUACCUUGCGCAGGGCAUCUAACCGAGUCCGCCAAGGCUGUUAAAAUUUUGUAUACACUUAAAAUAUAUUUUAGUUUGAGAAAAAUACAGCCGUUCCUUGGCGUUGGCUGAGUUCCCCUUCACGUGGUGGUUUGGCGUGAAGUGAACCCUAAGCUUUACCCCAGGAGAUACCCUACGCGCCUCUCCGUUCGAGGUAAUAAUAUAAUGGAGUUUACCGUGCCCCUCUAAUAGGCUGGUCCACGGAACCCCCUCUGCAGUAAAUAAUUAAUAUAUAAUCCACCAAUCAAUAAAAUUCAUUCUAGCAUGUCAUGGCAAUUUAUCGCAACCUAGCCUCUCAAGGCUGAAUACACAGUAUAAAUAAUUAUAACACCAAAAUCAGUUUAGCCAUUCAUGCUCAUUUAUUGUCAUAAGCCAUUCAAUUCAGAACCAUAAAUUUGCAACACAAACUAGCAGUCUCCAAUUACUCUAUUUUCAAAACCAAUAUUCGAUUUUUCAGAAAAUUUAUAAAAUCAUUUUAUAAAAUCACAAUUUCCCUUAAAACAUAACAAUUUACCAUUUAAACCCAUUUUUCAUAAAAUCACACAGUUGUAUAAAACUACUCUAGAUAAUUAAGACGAUAAUAAGUUUACUCACAAUGUCUAGAAUGCAGACUUUCGAAGCACUCUGUCUACUGGUCCUCGGAUGCAAUUUCCUUGCCUUUAUUGGAGGACUCACCACCUUGACACAGUACAAAAUCGAGAAUUUCACUAAGUUGGUACUAAAUCAAAAUUAAACUAAUUUGGACUACCAAUGCAUGAUAUGGAAUGCAAAAAUGCACUGGUAACUAUCUAAACCCGGUAUUGGCCUAAUUCGUCUUAUCACCCGAUUAAAUUCCUAACGGGUCCGUUUAAACUCCAAUUUAAUUCUUUUCAGUUUCUAUACCUCAAUUGCACCCAAAUUAACUUAAUGUCCCUCAGUGUGGUGCAAAUUAUCAGUCCCAACAGCAAAUUACGAAAAUACCCCUAGUGGGUAAAAAUUCGUAUUUUUGCUCCGAAAAUUCCCAUUAUUUUUCUAGGCUCAUAAUUCAUUAUUCCUUAACCAAUUCUCCUAGAAUAAAAUCAAACUCAUCCUCACUCACUACAUGGUAAAUUCAGCCAUUAAUGGUUGGGGGAGAAAAUAAAUUCUUUUCUUGUUGUUUUGUUUCUAAAUAUGCUAAACUAACUAAAAACACUAACAUAAAUUAAAAUCAAAUAAAUCCAACAACUUUCUCUCUCCUAACCCAUUUUUUCAGAAUUGAAUUCAUCAUGAAAACAUGUAAUUUAAUCAUGGAAAAUAAAGAGAAAUGCUUGGGAAUAAGAAAACUCAAGCUUAAUAGAAAAAAUCUCACCUUUUUCACUUAAUUUCCUUGAAAAUUCACACUUUUUCUUUGAUUUUCUCUCUCUAGGGUUUUGUUUUCUCCUUUCUCUCUCUUGUUUCUUGCUUGGCCGAAUGUUGAAGAAGAAGAAUGGGUGGGCUGAUUUUUUUUAUGCCUUUUUAUUGUUUAAUGAAAUAAUAUUAUUUUAUUCAUAUUUUAAAUAUUUUAUUAAUUCAUUUUUUUUUCUAGCCAUCCAUUUGUCCUACUUUUUCCACCAUGCAUUCCCUUUGACUUAUCCAAGUCUUAAGUGAAAUUUCCAGAUUUUUCCAAAGUUUUGGUGGAGCAAAUUUUUCAAAAUUACACUUUUGCCCCCGAACUUUUCAAAAAUUACAUUUUUACCCCAAAAAUUGAAAAUUUUCCAUAAUGCAUAAUUUUCACUCCUCAUACUCAUUUCACACUCCAAAUAAUUAAAUUUGAUCAAAAUCCUUUCAAAAAAUUAAAUUUUCGAUUUCGAGUGGCAAAAUUACCAUUUUACCCUUUUACUCCAAAUUAUACCGAAAUUAAAAUUUUUCACUUCUAAACCUCAAAUCUUACUCCAAUAAGUCAAAUGGGGCCAAAAAUCUUUUCUAAAAAUUUCCAUUUUGUCCCCAGGUGGCAAAUGACCAUUUUGCCCCUAGAUAGCGAAAAUUCCAAUUUGACUCCAAAUUGAUCCUCGAACUCCGAAUCACCAUAUUAACCCAUUCUGGGACUUUAAAAUUCUUAAUUUCAUUGUAAAUUCUCUAUUUGAUCUAGUUCGAGGCUUAAAUCAACUUUAUUGUACCUCUAGGUACAAUACCGACUUUUGUAAAUUUUUCAAGACUCUCUUAGCAUGUAAACAUGCUAUCCACCACAUGUAUGUCAUCACAAAUAUUUCUGUAGAGUCGGGCUUGUCAUCUUCUCCCCCACUUGGAUCAACCAUAUGAUCCUCCUUCUUGAUUGACUUCGACAUCCGGCUAAAUAUUAAUAUUUUAAUAUUAUUUUAUUAAUAAAAUAUUAUUUUAUUUUAAAAAUUUUAUCUUGUCUCCUUGGUACCCAAAAUACCUUAUUAUGCCUCACUUGACUUCCAAAUCGCCUUUUAUCUCACAAAUUCUCCUCCGAUAAAAUUAUUAUUAUUUUUUCACUUGCGAAAUAUUUUAUCCUAAACUACUCUUUUCGUCUUUUAUCACUUCUAAACAUUUUAAUUGACCUCAAUUUGCAUUCGAUCAACUUUAUUUAUCACUAUAUCAAAGUAUGGGGUAUUUCAACUUUACUCCACCUUAAGUCAAACCAACGUCCGAAAUUCAUCCCUCGGAUGGAACACAUAUCCAUAAAUCAGGCCAUUAUGCCUGUGACAUUCCAUAUGUCUAUAUCAAAUCGUAUUUCAAAUUUAAUGAGCUUUAAUCAUCUUAAGCUCAAUAUAAUUUUAAGUGCUUUCAAAUCUCUAAGGCAUCAUUAAAAAAACAUAAUCAACAUAUAGGCCUUCAUGCCCUUAACCCCAUAUGGGUAUUCAUCAUAUUUAGUCGUAUCAAUCAUGGCUUAAUAGCCUUAUGCAUAUCCUCAAAUCAUCCACAAGUACGUGAGCAUUCAUGUAUAGAUCAUAUCCAUAAGCAAUCAUGGCUUUUUAGCUUCACAUUCUUAAUAUCACCUUGAUUGUUGUGCCAUUAUCCCAAGUACACAUCAUGCCCAUAUGUCUAAUUGAGCAAACCAUUCAUCAUAAUUUGGCAUAAUCCUUAAUACAUAAUUUAUAUUGAACCAUGUGUAGGCCUUUUGCUCUAAGUCCUACAUACCAAGGGUUUCAACACAAUGCCACCUUGUGGCUUACCACAAAUCACACGAGCACAAAUUUCCUAUCUCAACUAACUAAUUAACCUAGGCAUCUUCAUCUAGGCACACAAUCAUAAUUGUUCUCUAGCCUAGGCACAUACCUCUAGGCAAACAUACACACUGUCACAGCCCAAUCCCGAGCCAUGAUUGGAGCAUGGACCCAAUAGGCAUAGCCCAUCAGGCCCAAGCAAGCCUUUCUAUGAAAACUUGUUCAUUAGGCCAUCUGUCCUUUAUUUACCUCUAAGGUUCUUAAUUCAUAGUUAUCAAAAAUAAUUUAUUCUCAAGAAUAAAUCAUGGCAACUAAACAUAUACCGUUCACAAAAUAAUAUUACCAUUUGCUAACUUGUGGUGAUAUUACUAUUCAAGCCAAACAUGCAGUGUUUACAAUAAAUCUCAUGAAUUACAUUUAAAUAGCCAUAUACACAUACAAAAGACCUUGACUAUCAGCGGAGUGACUCUAGCGUGGAUACUAUCAUGGGGUGUUCUGGUAAACCUAGCGUAAGAUGAACAAGAGGAAGUGCCUCUACCUAAGAUCCAACUAUCUUCGAACCUAAAAACUAAAACAUGAAGUUAAAAAGGAUGAGUAUAAUCCCAGUGAGUGAACAUAGGAAAAGAACAAGCAAACGAUACGGAGAGUUUUUUGAAAACAUAAUGCACUCGUUUAAAAACAAUGCAAUUUUGUAUAUUAUGAAUAAAACUCGAUGCAGUGCUGUUUUUCAACUCAUUUUAAAACAUUUAGGAAGUUCAACUUUCAACAUUCAAUGCAAUCACAUAAUAUUUUCUCUAACAUUUCUAUGGUAUAUGUAAACAUGUAUACAACCGUCGGUCAUCAGCUCAUGUGCACUCCCACACCACACAUAGCUGGAAUCACCCGUCAUUACCGGCAUGUGCACUCCCACACUGCACAUGCGUGGUUACAAUUAUCAUUCAAUAGUACAUUUCACUGCAUGGCACAUGUAACAACAUGUAACAAGAAUCUUUGCAUAACAAUACAUCACAUGCCACAAAUCAAUUGGCAAUUCAACAUAAUAUUUCAAAUACGUAAUUCAUCACAUCAUACAUAUCGCAUAAUAUAAGAACACAUGAGUUAAUCGCAUUGCACAAUUUCACAACAUAAAGACAUUUCAUCAAAGGCUUGUUCCCAAGCACAUUUUAAAGCAAAGGCAAAUAAAGUUUUCAAAUGAUUCAUUUGAACACAUGUGCAUUUAUCCCAAAACAUUUUUAAAUGCAAGUUCACUCACCUUAACAAUGCCACCUAAUGAAACUAGUGCCCACAAGAUCUUAAUCCAGGUUGUCCCAAAAUACCAUUAAAACCUAUAUUUACCAAUAAACCAUAACAACCUCAAUUGAGUCAUAAUUUGAAUCUAAUAAUUCUAAUAAAUAUAUAUUAUACAAUCUACACUCUAACCUAACAGUUAACUUAUAAUUUUAGUCUAAUUCAUAAACCCCUUAAACUAAUUGUUCAAGCUUUACGUUUUCUUUACCUUGGUGCUUGAAGGCAUGAAGAUCAACAAAACCUAACCAUUUCAGGGCAAGAAAAUUUGAAGAAAAUUAGAAAAUAAAGUCUAAAAAUUACAAACCCAUAAAUCUUAAAAUUCAAGAUUUGAAAAUAUAUACCUAUUGGCUUUAAAAUGAAGAUCUGUAGCCAAAAUUCAAGUAUUGAUGAAAGUGGAGUAGAAAUAGAAAAUGAAGAAAAGAAAGAGAGAUUUUUCUUUCUCUUUCCUAGGGUUUAGAUGUGCAAAAAAAUGGGGUUAGAAGCUGUGGUUUUGGUGUCCAAGAAGUUAGGGGAAGGAAGAAGUAAGAAAAGAAAAGAAAGAAAAAGAAAACAUGGAAAAGAAAAUGAAAAAGCUUGAUUUUUUUUUUGAUGAAGGAUGAAAAUGGCGUUGGGAGGAGAAGAAGAUGGAGAAUGAUGCCUUGGACAUGAUGGCCGGCCAUGGGAUAAGGAUGAAGGGUCAAAGCUUCCUUUGGAAGCUUUGACCAAGCUAACAGCAAAAUUACCAUUUUACCUUCUAAGGUUUUCACCUUUUUUAAUUAAGUCCUCCCACAAUCUUUUAAUUCCAAUUUCUUUCUAUUUUUCUUCUUUAACACUUGUAUCAAUAAAAUAUCAAGUUUAUACUUCAACGCGGUAUCACCAUAAUAUUUAAAUAUUUACUUACUCGCGCUAGCUUUAUUUAAUAAAGACACGCGGGCCCCAUUAAGGUCAUUUGUCUCCGAAAUUUCCUCGUUCUUCUUCUCCCCCACUUAGAUUGACCAUAUACUCCUUUUUUGUUGAAAAUUUUGACACUAAAUAAAAUAUUAAUAUUUUAAUAUUAUUUUUAUUAAUAAAAUAUUAUUUUAUUCUAAAUUUUUUUACUUGUCUCCUUGGUAUCCAAAAUGUCUUAUUAUGCCCUGAUUCACUUCGAAUCACUUUUUAUCUAGUUAAUUCAUCUUCAAUAAUUAAAUAUUAUUAUUUAAUUAUUAUUUCUUCACGUGCGAAAUAUUUUACUCUAGAAUAUUCCUUUCACCUUUCAUCUCUUUUAAACAUUUUAAUUAACUUCAAUUGGCAUCCGAUAAGCUUUAUUAGCCACCAUAUCAAAGAACGGGUAUUACACACACACGCACAUAUCAAUUUCAUUAGCCUAGGCAUUCUCAUCUAGGCAUACACACAACAUUUAAGUACCAUGGCAGUGCAUACAUUAUGCGUGAUGCAUCACAUGCAUUUAAUUAAAUCCCACUCAUAGUGACAAUCGAAGGUGCAUCCAUAACCAAGCUCCAAUUCUUAGCCUUCAACCAUCUUUCAACUCACCCAUUAGUAAAAUAGCUCAAUGUUCCCCUUAGAAACAUCAAAACAUUAAAAUCAUAAUUAUUUCCCAGCUUUUGAAAAUAUCCUAACUUUUCAAAAAUAAAAAAUUCAAUAUACAUACUCAUCCUUCCAAAAAAUGAACUAAAUCCUUACAUUAGAAGCUGGGUAACCCAAAUCUGUAAUAAACCCAAGGGAAAAGAGUUUCACCAAAUCUAAAAGUAUUUAGAUCUGAGGUUAUUAACAGAUUAAAUCAAAAAUCAAUCAGUAAAAACAUGUAAUCUUACUUCUAGAUCUAGUUUCCUAGCUUGGAUUAGCUCCAAAUAGGUCCAAGAAUUUGUUUGGGAAGUUACGGUUUUAGGUUUUAGAGAAAGAAAGGGAGAGAGAAAGAGUUGAGAGAGAAAAAUGGGGUGAAAUGGCUUGAAACCCUUUCUUAUUUUUACCUUUCUUCAGUGAUAUAUCGAUACAUUUUCCCUAAUUUUGAAUGAAUGUAUCAAUACAUUGAGGCAAUGUAUUGAUACAUUUUGGACAGAAUGGUCCCGAGUGCUCCCUACUUCAAAUGUAUCGAUAUAUGUUCAUUUUUACCAAAUCUAGUGAUACAUCCUCAAAUGUGUCAAUAAAAUUUGUCUAGAACAACUCAUAUUAUUCUUCCUACCAAGAAUGUAUCGCUACAUGAGGGGACGUUUCGAUACAUUUUCCCCUAUAGGCGGUUUAAGUCUUCCAAAACUUCCAAAAAUCCAACUUAACACCCUAAAUCUAUUCCUUGUUAAUCUCAUACCUCAAAUAUCUCAUAUAAUUCAAAUCCUCAUACAUAUAUUCUCAAAUAUACAUCAAAUUAAAUCAAAUCCUCAAGCUAGAGGAUUAAUUCAUCAUUCCUUAUCAGUAUUUGCCUUAACGUCUUAUCUUGGUAUCAAAGUGCCAAAAAUAUGCACAAUUCCUUUGAAAACUCUCAUUUAUACCAAUAUUCAUAGUCAUACACCUAUAAGUGUAGUCAUAUUCACCAAAGUUCAAUGUAGGUCAUCAAUUGGCUUAGCUAGUUCAUCUUAUUAUUAGAAUCCUUGAUGUACAUUGAAAUUCAAAGUCUUUCUUUAUAGACCAUAAUAGCUAAUAUGCAUGUUCCACAAGCAUAUACAUCAAGUAUUCAAGUUACUCAUCAAAUCACUUGGCCAAAAUCACAUUUAGGCCAUAUAAAAAAUCAAAGGUGUUACAAAUUUAGUUAUAAAUUUCAAAGCAUGUUCAAGCACUAUCAUUAAAUAUAAUGUCAUCAUUAUGCACUUUUGUCAUGCAUGUUCUCAUUUUCACAAUGAUAAGCACUUAAUUUAAAAUAUAUGAAUAUUGAGAAUUAAUAUUGCAUAUGUUUACCUCAAUAAUCUUCUUGAGCCACAAAUGAUACAAUUUACCUCUUUCUUACGCUUUUGACUUUAAGCAUGUAAACUCCUCUUACAACAAAGAAACUCAAACUUUUUUUCUUGGUACCUAAAUUUUCUUGGUGUUGGCUCCAUUAGUUUUUAAUGAUAAUAAAACAUUCCCAUUUAUUUGUGUCUAAUUCCUUUAUUUGAGUGUGCAGGAAAUUAAUAUAUGAAUUUAAUUUCUUAAAUCUUCAAAGAGUAUUUUUGAAAGAAAAAGAGGGAUAAAAUCAACAGGAUGUAACUGAAUAAUAAGGAGGAAGCUUAUUGGUUAAACAAGGAAGAACAUUGGUUGACCAAAAAUUCAAAUUGGAGCAAUGACAGACUGAAGAGUUUGAGAAACAGAACCAACUUAGUCAACCAAAUCAGUUGACUAAGUGCCCUCUAAGAGAAUCUGUAAACCAGAAAUAAAAUCAACUUAGUUAACCAAGUUAGUCUACUAAGAGCUCUCUGUCUACAAUUUGAACCAAAUCACUACAAGACAAAUUACCGGCUAGAACUCAUCCUCAACUGUUUCCAACGAAUAUAAACUGCCAAACUGCCAUCAAAGUUGCAUCUCCAAGUAUAAAAGGGUCUUCCAACAAUGAGAAACAAGUUUUUUGUAGCCUUGAGUAAGAUUUGAGCUUUAGAAAGAAGAAAAACCAGAAAAGCUUCACUGCACUUGUCUGCAGUUAAAUGCCUACUCUUUGUCAUUGUAUUUAGCACUCAAUCUUGUACCAAUCAGAUCAACUUGUGAUCAUAGGUACUUUCUUUAACUUAUCUUCUUGUAUACUUAGAGUGAGGGAGUCACUCUAAGGGGUUGUUCAAGCUUGAGAAAGCUUGAAUGUUAUAGGUUGUGGUUGAGCCUUGGAAAACCACUUUGGGUUUUAGUUAAGCCCGUGAAAAACUAGUGUAAAGGUUUUGGCUGAGCCUGUGAAAAGCCAUUGUAAAAGCUUGGUGAAAGCUUGUGAAUUUCAUCGAAUUUUUAAUGAAUCGUUGGGAAAAUCCUUGGUUGGAUAAUCAAGGUAGUGGAUGUAGGUCUUGGACCGAACCACUCUAAAUUGUUGUGCAUCUUAUACUCUGUUUUUACUUUCCUAAGAUUUGAAAAUUAGUUUCAUAUCUUGUCAAGAACCAAAUUGUGCUAUUCACCCCUCCCUCUAGCACAUAUUGAUGGGACCAACACUUGGGUCCUUUAAAGUAAUUUACCUUGGUUCCCUUUUGAACCUUAUCAGUUUUUAUCACUUUACCAUGUGAAGGAUUAAUUCUUUUUGGAACCCAUACAUAUUUCACAACUUUGUCUCUUUGUGAGAUAACUUUCAAAAGGCAAGAUAAAGUAGAAUGUCCAAAUUUAAAGCAACAAGUGCAUUUUCAAAACCAAUCUGUCAUGACCUGGUACUCUCUCCGAGCCUGUGACAACCGUCGCGAUGUCCCCGAUAGACAUUCAUUACCCUGAAUGCCAACCGAAACCUCGCAAGGCUUAAUAUCAAUUUUCGCACCUCCUUUGUGAGCAAUAAUUACUAAAUAUCAUAUUUUAAAAGAUUAUAAGCUAUUUCCAAAUCAAAACAAUAAUAAAAAUAUUUUCUGUCUCACAAGGGCAUUUUGGUCAUUUUUCUCAAAAAUUUUGAAACUUGCUGAAAAUAUAAUAUAUAGGGAAAAAUACACAUUUCAUAACUAAAAAUAAGUUUUUAUGUCUAAAACAUUCAUUUAUGGUGAAAUUGUAGCUAAUAGAAUAAAAUAAAAAUAUUAAAUGAAAUAUUCCAUUUUCUUAUAAAACAAUAUUUAUAGAACUUUGCGUAAAUAAUUUUUGUAGCGUAAAAGCAAAAUAAAUCCAUACAUAUAGUAACACAGAUAACCAGAGUAUGUAAUUUAAUUUACAAUGACGUGUGGGCCCCUGAAUGACCAAAGGUAACAAAGGUUGUGGACCUACAAUUUUUGAAGAGGCGAGUCCAAUAAUAACCCUCGACUUAAUAAGCUAUUUACGGACUAUCCUGAUCCUAGAAUGAGUGGAAAGGAAGGUGGUCAGUUUAUAUAAACUCAGUGAGUAAACAAACAUCAUCUAAAAUAUCUAAAGUCGAGUAAAUUGAGACAACUUAAAAUAGUUCAUCGUACUAUGAUUCAUAACGUUUCAAACUCAUUUCAACUAACUAAAAUAAUUUCAUUUCACUCAAAUAAUCAACAUGGCUUAUGAAUUUCUUAAGAAUUUGGCUCGUGCCAAAACUCAUUCUCAGGGAUACCUUGGUCGGGCCAUCCAACCGAGUCCACCAAGACUGUUAAAGAAAAGUUUAUAUACGCAUAAGACACAUUUUUACGUUUAAAAGCAUAGUCGUUCCUUGGCAUUGGCUGAGUUCACCCUCACGUGGUGGUUUAAUGUGUAGUGAACUCUAAAGAUUUACCUCAGGAGAUACCCUCUGCGCCUCUCGUACCGAGGUAAAAUAUAACCGGGUUUACCGUGCCUCUCUCUAAUAGGCUGGUCCACGGAAACCCGCCACUGCAGUGACUAAUCAAUAUCCCACCAAAUCAAUAAAAGUUUCGAUAGCAUGACAUGGAAAUUAUAUAACUAUCUAGUCUGUUAAGGCAAAACAAACAAUUCAUACAAUUUCAACACAAUUUCCAAUUCAGCCAUUCAUGCCAAUAUCACCAUAAGCCAUUCAAUUCAAACCAUAAAUUUACAACACAAUCAAACAGUCUUCAAUCACUCAAUUUCAAAAAUCAUCAUUCAAUUUCAAAAUGAUUUAUAAACUCAUUUCAUUUAAUCACAUUUUACUUAUAAAACAUAAGGAUUUACCAUUUAAACUCAUUUAAUCACAAAAACGAAUAAAAACUACUUUAGAUAAUUAAGACGAUAAUAAGGUUACUCACAAUAUCGGGAGUCAAAGUACUCCUAGUCCCGAUCUUUGGGUACAAUCUCCUUACCCUUAUCGAAAGUUUCACCACCUAAACAUAAUGCACAAUAAACAAUUUACUAUAUUUGUACUAAAUUGUUAUAAAACUAAUUUAGGCUCUAUAUGAAUGCAUGAAAUGGGAUGCAAAAUGUUCGGAUUAUUAUCUAAAUAAGGUGUUCUACGUAGCUUCAAUUAUGUAUCGAAAUAAAAUGGUAUUGGCCUAAUUCGAUCUAUACACUAGUUAAUUGGCCAAUACAUCCAAUUCAACUCCAAUUAACUUGAUUCCACUUCCAACACUCCAAGUCAUCAAUUACAAGUUAAAUAAUAUGUAAUAUCACAAAAAUCCAUCAUCAAUAUCUUCCUUGUAAAAUUCGGCCAUUGAAGGUUUAGUGUAGAACAUGUAAUUUUCAUGCUUGAUUUUUACACCUUACAUCAUAAAACAACUAAAAACACCUAAAUAGCAUGAAAUUCAUCAAAGUCCAUUAUCCAAUUUCUCUCUUGAAAAUUUCAGCCAAGGAGUGUGGGUGAAGGGCAUGAAAUUUCUUGCUUGUUUUUCAUGCUAAACAUCACCAAACAACUAAAAACACUAAGAUACCUUGAAAUCUAACCAAAUAAAUCAUCAAAUCUUCUCUCCCUAAAUUCGGUCAGCCAUGAAUCCUUCAUGAGAUCUUGAAUUUUAACCAUGGUCAUUGAAAAAGAAUGUAUAAGAAAGGUAGAUCACAAGCUAGAAUUAAGAAAUUUUACCUUUACUUGCUUAAUUCUUGAAAUUCAAUGAAUUUUCUCUUGAUUUUCUUCUCUAGGGUUUGUUCUAUGCUUUUUUCCUUUUGUUCUUGCCUUGGCAGGCCAAGAG